AGCGUUCAUAUUUAACGUCGGGAUCGAUAUUUUGCAUUGUUUACACAAAGAAGGCAACAAUGCUUCAUGUUGCGGUUCGCACGGAUCGAGCACAUUUGACUGAUUUAUCAGGACUUUGAGAUCAAUAACUAAACAAACAGACCAUGUCCGAGUUUGAGAUGGAGACAGCUAUAUCCAGCACCAGAGACCCAGAAUCUGAUGAGGGAAAAGAAUCUACUGAAGAGAAGUUGACCGUUGACAUUUCUGACCCUGAGGGAGAAGGUCAUCAACACAAAGAAACAGUGAAG